rnacentral:rRNA from 1 species
UAACGCGUGAGCAACCUGCCCUUCGGAGGGGGAUAGUGUCUGGAAACGGACAGUAAUACCGCAUAACGUAUUUUUACCGCAUGAUAGAAAUACCAAAACUGAGGUGCCGAAGGAUGGGCUCGCGUUGGAUUAGAUAGUUGGUGGGGUAACGGCCUACCAAGUCGACGAUCCAUAGCCGGACUGAGAGGUUGAACGGCCACAUUGGGACUGAGACACGGCCCAGACUCCUACGGGAGGCAGCAGUGGGGAAUAUUGCACAAUGGGGGAAACCCUGAUGCAGCAACGCCGCGUGAAGGAAGACGGUUUUCGGAUUGUAAACUUCUGUUCUUAGUGAAGAAUAAUGACGGUAGCUAAGGAGCAAGCCACGGCUAACUACGUGCCAGCAGCCGCGGUAAUACGUAGGUGGCAAGCGUUGUCCGGAAUUACUGGGUGUAAAGGGAGCGCAGGCGGGAAGCCAAGUCAGCUGUGAAAACUACGGGCUUAACUUGUAGACUGCAGUUGAAACUGGUUUUCUUGAGUGAAGUAGAGGUUGGCGGAAUUCCGAGUGUAGCGGUGAAAUGCGUAGAUAUUCGGAGGAACACCGGUGGCGAAGGCGGCCAACUGGGCUUUAACUGACGCUGAGGCUCGAAAGUGUGGGGAGCAAACAGGAUUAGAUACCCUGGUAGUCCACACUGUAAACGAUGAUAACUAGGUGU